rnacentral:rRNA from 1 species
CCUACGGGCGGCUGCAGUGGGGAAUAUUGCACAAUGGGCGCAAGCCUGAUACAGCCAUGCCGCGUGUGUGAAGAAGGCCUUCGGGUUGUAAAGCACUUUCAGCGGGGAGGAAGGCGGUGAGGUUAAUAACCUCAUCGAUUGACGUUACCCGCAGAAGAAGCACCGGCUAACUCCGUGCCAGCAGCCGCGGUAAUACGGAGGGUGCAAGCGUUAAUCGGAAUUACUGGGCGUAAAGCGCACGCAGGCGGUCUGUCAAGUCGGAUGUGAAAUCCCCGGGCUCAACCUGGGAACUGCAUUCGAAACUGGCAGGCUAGAGUCUUGUAGAGGGGGGUAGAAUUCCAGGUGUAGCGGUGAAAUGCGUAGAGAUCUGGAGGAAUACCGGUGGCGAAGGCGGCCCCCUGGACAAAGACUGACGCUCAGGUGCGAAAGCGUGGGGAGCAAACAGGAUUAGAUACCCGGGUAGUC